rnacentral:lncRNA from 1 species
GGGGUGGAGAGGGAGAAGAGAGAGAAUUUUAAAUUUAUUACAAAAUUUAUAAUUUAUAAUUUCAAAAAUAAAAUUUAUAAUUUUUUAAAUUUUAAAUUUGAUAUUUGAUAUUUUUAAAUUUAAAUUCGAUCUUAAAUUUAAAAAUUUAAAAAAUAAAAAAAUGAAUUUAAAAAUUUAUAAUUUUAUAUUCUAAAUUUUAUAUUUUAAAUUUAAAAGUUAACAUUUUAAAUUUAAAACUUUAAAUAUGAUAUUUAAAAAUUCAAGUUCAAAUUUAAUGAGAGGAAUAAUAUCAUUAUUUUUUAUUUAUAAUUACUCAUUAUUCUUCUUAUUUUAUCUUUAUCUAUCAAAACGUUACUUUUUUUAUUUCCGGAAACAACUCAAUUUUCAUUCAAACGUAAAAUUAGUUUAAUCUUUACUUAUACUUAAACUUGUACCUAUUUUUGAAAAAAGUCAUUCUUACUUAUAUCCGAACCAAAUGAAGCCUUAUGGAUCCAAUAACCUGCUAAGUUUGUUAAAAAUCGGAACGACGAAAAAUAGAUCCAAAAAAUAAUUUAAUGCAAGAAAAGAAAAGUAAGGAAAGAACACACUGAUAAUUACGUGGUUCGGCCAACGGCCUAUGUCCACGGACGAAGACGGAACAAAUACUUUAUUAAUGUCGAAAAGACGGAGUACAAAAAAAUCUCUCAAAAGACCAAAACUUAAUUAGAUUCGAAACACCGCAACAAGCAACUCCAAAGUGGCUCGGCUUAAUUAACACCACGGCUCCUCAUUACCGUACGGACCACCAAGCUUGGUCAACUCUCUGGAACAUGCGGUUUAAUUAGCAUGGCUUCUAAUGCACAACAUUGCCUUCAUUAAUUAGAUCCCAACAGAGGCUCUCACACCGCGCGCCACCGCAACAUGACCACCCUUAAUUUAAUUAAUUUUCAUGGCCCUUAAUUUGAGUCGCGGCUGGAUUAAUUUGGCCGUAGCAUGUAUUUAUAAUACAUGUCUCCUAAAUAGAGUCUAAUCCUAAUUCAAUUAGAAAUUAGAUUCCGACUCAUAAUCCAUAUAUGCCAAAUUAAAUCUAAAUUAUAUCCAAUCCCAAUUAGAUUAGGAUUUAAUUCCAAUUUAGAUAACUACAAAUCUAAACCAAAUAUAACAAAGUUGCUAAAAAGUUUUAUAUU